rnacentral:tRNA from 1 species
UCCCUGGUAGCUCAUAUGGUAGAGAAUCUGCCUGUAAUGCAGGAGACGCAGGUUCAAUCCCUGGGUUGGGAA